UCUAAGUAUGAAAUGACUCAUUUUGAAAAUGUAAUAAAUGAUGUAAAAAACCAGUUUGAGUGUAAGAAUUGAUGUGAACCUAAAAAUGUUCAUGCGAACAAAAAAUUUCAGCUCAAACUCAAAUGAAUCUAUCAAAUUUAUCUCAAACUAAUUCAGAUCAUGCAAUUUUUUUAAAUUGGACAUCUUAUGCAAUUUCUUCAAAUUAUUACAGCAUUAUGAACUCUUAAAUCUAACAUUUCAAUCAGUACAAAAAGAGGCUUUGAAUUCCACGUAACAGUCCUCCUACAACCUCUAACCUCUAAACAACUCAAUCUAUACAAAAAUAACCAUGAAAAUGGAACACAAACUCAAUCUCCAAGUCAACAUAAGCAAGAACCAACUUAAGCAAAACCAAAUAUGAAAAAAAAAAACGAACUAAGGAACUAGUUCUUGCUGAAGUCUUUUGUUUUGCUCAAUAACAAAAUUCCUCUCCUCGGUUACCUUUGAAAUGUGAGUUAUUUCCUGAAACAAAAAAUAAAAGUUCAAAAUGAGAACCAUUUUUCUUUCAUUCAUAUAUCUCUAAAAAAGUUGUCCAAAGCUCUUCUUUGAGGCAGUUAAGAUAACUUCUUCAAUAAUAAUAUAAUUAUUAAUGCAAAUAAAUGACUUGAAUCAAUCCAUUUCAAACAAUUUAUUAUCACGAGCAUUUCCAAAUAACAUGCCUACAUAGGAACCCAAGGAAUAUUACAGCACCACAAGGCUAUCAAAGAAAGAUCAAAAGGUCAAACCAGUGAUAUAAAUAGUAAAUCAAUGCAUAAACAUCAAAGCUUAGAAAUUUAUGCAUUUCAAAAACAUUUGAAAGGUACUUCCAAUAUCUCAAAGUCGUUAUCAAAAUCUUAAAUCAAAUCUGCAUUCUUCAGCAAUCACAAUACAAGAUCAACUUCAUCACUUGCAUCACUUUCCUGGUUAAGUCACGCUCAAAAGACUGGACACUAAUAUUAUACAUUAAGUUAUAAUUUUCAAAAUUGCACUAUGAAUUUGGCAAGUCCAAAUACUUAGACUAGAUUCAGAUGAAAAGCCAUCACAAAACGCCAAAACACGCUAAUUCAGCUAAUAACCAACAAUGAAAAAACACUUCUUACGUUAAAUUAUCGAACUAUGAACAGCUGCAUUUUGUGGGAAGAACUAGUGAGUGACGCCAAAUUAGCCAAAAAUCAGUAAACACAAUAUAUACAGAGGAGGAACUAGUCCCAACCCUUUUACAAGAAAAGAAAAGCUAAGCAGUGCAUAAUUUGAUUAUUGAUGAGCCCUUACACUACUUAACAAACCAAACCCAAUAGCUUCCCUAAGAUAGAUGGAGCAGAGCUACAGUACAGGAUAGAAGCUGUUGUGGAAUACUGCAAAUGACAGCAGGCUCACAACUCUGUUAUGUACAUACCCUUGCUGCAUAAUUAUGCAACAUCUUAAACCAUCUUAUGCACCCCCUCAUGUGCAUCAAAACGUGAUCCCUGCUACACAACCAUCAGAACUUCUUCUCCCAUUCUUCCAGCAUCCUCCACACAAUCUACAACCCUCCUUUAGUUGGCUUCCACACAUGCCAACUGUUUGCAUCCAUCAUGUACACAUCUAUUUCCUACUAGUCUUUGCCUAGUACAGCAUGCUUAACCGGAUCAUGGCCUCACUUAGUCAUCAUAGAUACAACAAUUAAAGGUACCCAAGAAUCCCCCACGCUCCCGUCAGAGCAUUAACUACUCCCUUCAACUAUUGACCUUGUGCAACGGUAGCUCCCAUAUUCCCAGCAUAUCACUGAACCCAGCACACCGAUGACAGAACCCCCUCCUUAUCAUUGCUAUAGUACAUAACCAUC
rnacentral:lncRNA from 1 species